CCUGCGCUCCAGUUUGCAGCUGGGAGCAGACACAUGGGGCACCAUGUGCAUGUGCACGCCCACAUACAUGCGUGUGGCGGGGAAUACAGCUGGGCACCAUGGAGAGCAGCUUCCUGCAGAAUUGUAGUUUCUGGAAAGGGAGCACAGGCAUUGCUUCAAGAUUACUUCCUCAGGAGCAGAUGGUUCUCCAAGGACGGUGAGGCAAAGUCAAAGAGUAAAGCAAAGCUAUCUCUACACAGGACCAGCUGCACGAGACCAUAUGGCAUGAAUCACUUCAGUGAAGCAUUCUGCACAUCACAUCACGAUUUACACUGACAUUAUGAUUUCUUAGACGUUAAGUGGAAGCAAGAGCUGCAUAGAUAAAGCCCAAUCUGUUAAACAGGUUCUACAGGUGCAUAAUCCUAUUAAGCUUAACCUUGCUGGCGUGGCUUUGUUCAGAAGGACAGAGUGGCAGUCAACAAGAGGGACAGCUUUUUUAUGUGGCCAGAAGUAAAGGCAGGAGGAACUUCUUGGGCUACACCACUACGUACCUGAAUUAAGGAAAGUUGGUGAACCAUUUGUUUCCCCAGAUGAAAGAUGAUGGCACUACUUGGCUUCUUUGUAAAGCACAUCUCAGUACUCAGAAGAAAAGGGCCUACUGUGUAUGAAGUGCAGGAAUUAUCUUCACCUGGGAUACAACAAGGACAAAACAGAAGCACAGAACAUUAUAGGGGG